rnacentral:misc_RNA from 1 species
GCCACGCCCGAAGUCGUUACCCCAACCGAAAGGGGGGGGAUGCCUAAGGUAGGACUGAUGACUGGGGUGAAGUCGUAACAAGGUAGCCGUACCGGAAGGUGUGGCUGGAUCACCUCCUUUUAGGGAGACCUAAUCCAUUUAGAAAUCGAAAACAAUGAAAAUUGUCAAUAGAAACUAAAGUGGUCUAACCUAGGUCGUUCGAGAUUGGUAGAUAUCUUUCAAAGUAUUAUUCGGCUUCGUUCAAAACCAUAUAUAAUAAAUGGAAAAAGACAGCACCUAAUUGAAAAAGUUAGACUGCUGGAUGAAAUUCCAGCCAGAACCUUGAAAACUGCAUAAGAGAACGAGAAAAAGCAGGCAGACACAGACAUUUAGAUGGAUGUGAAAGCAAAGAAAUUGUGGUCAAGCUAAUAAGGGCUAAUGGUGGAUACCUAGGCACACAGAGG